rnacentral:rRNA from 1 species
CUCAACUAGGAGAAGUUGCUCAAAACUACCAGGCUGGAGGACGGUAGAGGGAGGUGGAAUUCCCGGUGUAGUAGUGAAAUGCGUAGAUAUCGGGAGGAACGCCAAUAGCGAAGGCAGCCUCCUGGGCCGUUCCUGACACUGAGACGCGAAAGCAUGGGGAGCGAACGGGAUUAGAAACCCCGGUAGUCCAUGCCGUAAACGAUGUGGACUUGAUGUCGGCGGCGUAAUAGUUGUCGGUGUCGUAGUUAACGCGGUAAGUCCACCGCCUGGGGAGUACGAUCGCAAGGUUAAAACUCAAAGGAAUUGACGGGGGCCCGCACAAGCAGCGGAGCGUGUGGUUUAAUUCGGUGCUACACGAAGAACCUUACCUGGGCUUGACAUAUAAGUGGUAGGGAUCCGAAAGGUGACCGACCCCUCGGGGAGCU